rnacentral:rRNA from 1 species
AUUGAACGCUGGCGGAAUGCUUUACACAUGCAAGUCGAACGGCAGCACGGACUUCGGUCUGGUGGCGAGUGGCGAACGGGUGAGUAAUGUAUCGGAACGUGCCCAGUCGUGGGGGAUAACGUAGUGAAAAUUACGCUAAUACCGCAUACGAUCUAUGGACGAAAGCGGGGGAUCGCAAGACCUCGCGCGAUGGGAGCGGCCGAUAGCAGAUUAGGUAGUUGGUGGGGUAAAGGCCCACCAAGCCAACGAUCUGUAGCUGGUCUGAGAGGACGACCAGCCACACUGGAACGGAGACACGGUCCAGACUCCUACGGGAGGCAGCAGUGGGGAAUUUUGGACAAUGGGCGAAAGCCUGAUCCAGCCAUUCCGCGUGCAGGAUGAAGGCCCUCGGGUUGUAAACUGCUUUUGUACAGAACGAAAAGGUUUCUACUAAUACUAGGAGCUCAUGACGGUACUGUAAGAAUAAGCACCGGCUAACUACGUGCCAGCAGCCGCGGUAA